rnacentral:ncRNA from 1 species
UACUUAUCCAGAAAGACUGAGGGAAAGGCCCGAUGACGUCUUAGCAACCUAUAUUGUUUUAAAAGGCAAUAAAAGGUGCUAACUCCUGCUCCUGUAUUCAUUACCGGGGGAAGAUAAGCA